rnacentral:misc_RNA from 1 species
UCCCUGUUACCAGGGCAGUCUAGCUAGAAAAAUUCAACUAACUACAAGGGUUGCGCUCGUUGAUGGACUUAACCAAACAUCUCACGACACGAGCUGACGACGGCCAUGCAUCACCUGUCACUUGGUUCAAUAAAGCACACUCUACUUUCGUAGAGCUUCCAAGGAUGUCAAACCUGGGUAAGGUUCUUCGCUUAUCAUCGAAUUAAACAACACGCUCCACCGCUUGUGCGGGUCCCCGUCAAUUCCUUUAUGUUUUAGUCUUGCGACCGUACUCCACAGGCGGGAUGCUUAACGCGUUAGCUUCGCUACUACCGGGGUCGAUACCGAUAACAGCUAGCAUCCAUCGUUUACGGCAUGGACUAC